rnacentral:rRNA from 1 species
UACGGGGGGGGGCAAGCGUUGUUCGGAAUUACUGGGCGUAAAGGGCUCGUAGGUGGCCAACUAAGUCACACGUGAAAUCCCCAGGCUUAACCUGGGAACUGCGUGUGAUACUGGAUGGCUUGAAUUCGGGAGAGGGAUGCAGAAUUCCAGGUGUAGCGGUGAAAUGCGUAGAUAUCUGGAGGAAUACCGGUGGCGAAGGCGGCAUCCUGGACCGACAUUGACGCUGAACGGCGAAAGCUAGGGGAGCAAACGGG